rnacentral:rRNA from 1 species
GAUGAACGCUGGCGGCGUGCCUAAUACAUGCAAGUCGAGCGAACGGACGAGAAGCUUGCUUCUCUGAUGUUAGCGGCGGACGGGUGAGUAACACGUGGAUAACCUACCUAUAAGACUGGGAUAACUUCGGGAAACCGGAGCUAAUACCGGAUAAUAUUUUGAACCGCAUGGUUCAAAAGUGAAAGACGGUCUUGCUGUCACUUAUAGAUGGAUCCGCGCUGCAUUAGCUAGUUGGUAAGGUAACGGCUUACCAAGGCAACGAUGCAUAGCCGACCUGAGAGGGUGAUCGGCCACACUGGAACUGAGACACGGUCCAGACUCCUACGGGAGGCAGCAGUAGGGAAUCUUCCGCAAUGGGCGAAAGCCUGACGGAGCAACGCCGCGUGAGUGAUGAAGGUCUUCGGAUCGUAAAACUCUGUUAUUAGGGAAGAACAUAUGUAUAAGUAACUGUGCACACCUUGACGGUACCUAAUCAGAAAGCCACGGCUAACUACGUGCCAGCAGCCGCGGUAAUACGUAGGUGGCAAGCGUUAUCCGGAAUUAUUGGGCGUAAAGCGCGCGUAGGCGGUUUUUUGAGUCUGAUGUGAAAGCCCACGGCUCAACCGUGGAGGGUCAUUGGAAACUGGAAAACUUGAGUGCAGAAGAGGAAAGUGGAAUUCCAUGUGUAGCGGCGAAAUGCGCAGAGAUAUGGAGGAACACCAGUGGCGAAGGCGACUUUCUGGUCUGUAACUGACGCUGAUGUGCGAAAGCGUGGGGAUCAAACAGGAUUAGAUACCCUGGUAGUCCACGCCGUAAACGAUGAGUGCUAAGUGUUAGGGGGUUUCCGCCCCUUAGUGCUGCAGCUAACGCAUUAAGCACUCCGCCUGGGGAGUACGACCGCAAGGUUGAAACUCAAAGGAAUUGACGGGGACCCGCACAAGCGGUGGAGCAUGUGGUUUAAUUCGAAGCAACGCGAAGAACCUUACCAAAUCUUGACAUCCUUUGACAACUCUAGAGAUAGAGCCUUCCCCUUCGGGGGACAAAGUGACAGGUGGUGCAUGGUUGUCGUCAGCUCGUGUCGUGAGAUGUUGGGUUAAGUCCCGCAACGAGCGCAACCCUUAAGCUUAGUUGCCAUCAUUAAGUUGGGCACUCUAAGUUGACUGCCGGUGACAAACCGGAGGAAGGUGGGGAUGACGUCAAAUCAUCAUGCCCCUUAUGAUUUGGGCUACACACGUGCUACAAUGGACAAUACAAAGGGCAGCGAAACCGCGAGGUCAAGCAAAUCCCAUAAAGUUGUUCUCAGUUCGGAUUGUAGUCUGCAACUCGACUACACGAAGCUGGAAUCGCUAGUAAUCGUAGAUCAGCAUGCUACGGUGAAUACGUUCCCGGGUCU